rnacentral:lncRNA from 1 species
CGUUCAUCCCGUCACUAUCUAACACCACCCACCUCUCUUGCUUUCUCUCUCUUCCUUCCUCCUUCUGCCUUUCCACCGCUUCUCUCUUCUGCGCUCUGCUCCUGCCAGGAAAAAUGAUGAUGGUGAUAAUGAUGAUGUUAUACUGAGGCCAGCCAAUGGUAACGCAUGGAGUGAGUGGAAGGGGUGUGUCCAGAGGCCAAGCUUGGAGCUGUUCGAUGCUGAGAAGGCUGAAGAGGAAGAAGGGGAGGUAGAGGAGGGUGGGGGAGGCCUUGUCCAAGCUGAGGAGCGCCUACUCCGGCUUAAAAAAAAGGGGGAAGAUUAGGAGAAGGAGGAGGAGGAAGAGGAGGAAGGAGGGAGGAAGGUGUCGACUGUCAGAGGGGGGAAUCAACCUGUGCUGUCAUGGACAAGUAUCGACCAAAGAGACCAACCACCCUGGCUCUGUUUCCACAGCUGCCACAAGCCGGCACCCAGGACUCCAUCAACAACAACUCUUUGGGCAAGAAAGACAGCUGGAAGGAGUCCCGCUCCUCCUCCCCACACAUCACAGGGGAUCUAAUGCCACCGGAUGUCCAACAAAAAACGGAGGACAAAGUCCAGCACAGUACUCGGCGUCCGGCUCCAAAGCCUCCCACAGCCAAUGGAGCCAAAAGCAGAACCAACACUCAAGCUGCCGCCACCACUGCAGACACUAGAGCUCGACUGCACGAAAGACAGGUAGCUGGGAGCACGUACACACAGUCCUCCAGCACACAGAGGAGUCAGCGGAGAGGAGGAGGAGGAGGAAGAGGGGUAGGCAGAGGAGCUACAGCGAUGAGAGAGCGGAGCCUGGGGGACAGCAAAGGAAAGAAUGGAGUAACAGCAGGGAAGGAAGAGAAACGAACAGGAAGACUGUGUGAUGGGAGAGAGAAAGAAAGGGAUGGACUUCACAGACCAAGAGAAGCAAAUGGACUGAAAAGCCGGGGGACUGACAGGAAAGGGAAAGUAGUGGCUAAGGGGAGUAACAGAGGAGAGGGCUUGAAGCAAAAUCACAUCAUGUCUAACCAGGAAGUUUAUCAGACAGCAAUGGUAGUUCCUCGUACACCUGUAGCACCAAGAAACCAGGACAAGAGCCAAGACCAAGGUCAAAACCAUGACAGAACGCAGGACAACCCCCCUGCUCUCUCUCGGUCAAGCAGUGAAGGGGGCUCAAAUAGGAUGUCCCUCAGCUCAGACACAGAGGGCCCCCCACCAGGGCCUCUGCAUCCCUCCCUACCCUAUCGAAUCAACCCUGACAUCAGUGAAGAAGAUGGGGAAGGAGAACCAACUCCCUGCAUGAACAUUCAGAAUGGUCCACUCCACUGCCUUGAAGGUAAUGAAACAACAGAGAUGGACUGUACCACAUCCGUGGUGGACGCAGGGGGAGGACAAGGUGACAUCAAAGCAGAAGUGGAUGGCACGAACUCUGUCACUCAGGGAGAUUCUGUGGCUGCUCGGACUGUACCAAAGAGUGACACAACAGAACAGUUGAACUAUGACUCUGUAAAAUACACUUUGGUGGUUGAUGAACAUGCUCAGUUGGAGCUGGUUAGCCUCAAGAACUGCUUGCACAGUUACGAGCACAAUGAUGACAGUGAUGCAGAAACAGUAUAUCAGUCAGCCAAUGAGGAUGAAGACCCAGAAUAUGAGGAGGAGAGGAAGAGGAAAGAGCAGACAAGGAAGCAAGGUAAUGAUAUAGAUUCAUCUUUACAUUUAAAUUGAUUAAAUAUUUCUUUGCAUGAAAUUCUGUAAUAAAAGCUCGAAGUAUCAACAGCUUUGAAUGGAUCA